UACUACUAUGGUUCUUAACCGUCUGAGCCACAACAGGAACUCCUGAAAUAUUGUUCAUAUUAAUUCUGAGUUAAAUGUUGCACCUUAGUCCCGCUCAUGCUAUUUUUCUUAUUUUCAAAGUAAGGAAACCAGGGCUUAGAGAAGGAAGCGAGGACACAUGUAUAUCCUGUGUCUUCCAAACACACCCCCACGGGGCCUGGACGGGGAGGGCCCCCAGCACAGCCUGUGCCCGCGGGCCUGGCCGCAGGAGGCUUCGGAGCUUUGCUCCCUGGUGUGGAGCAAGCAGCCCCUGUGGCUGGAAGGGCCCAGACUGGUGCCCCUGGUUAUGUGAGGAAAACAGGGCUCCGGGGGCUGGGUUGGGAUUCCAACCCAGUCGGCCUGGGCACGUCUGUUCCUGCGUCCCCGGUGCCUGAGAGGAAGGACCCUGAGCACCCAGAACUCUCCCCUCCUCCACCUCCAUCAUGGGCACUGCCCUGAGCAGCCAGCUCCUCAGGCCCAGGCCCAGGGCAGACGCACCGAGGUGACCCAGCCCCUCACCGCAGAGCCUCAAGAUCCAGCUGUGCCAGUUGCAGAAGAGGUGUCACCUCCAGCAGGAGCAGUGGCAGCAGUUGGAACACGAUGUCACUUCCCAGAAAGACACGGGCAGCUCCGAGGUGGGAAGCAAGGCUGCUACUGCAGCCAAUCACAACCCUGAAGGCCUGAAGCCCAGGACUCUGGUGCUGCCGAGGAAGCAGCUGCUCAGCUACAUGCAAAUGGCCAUCAACAGCAUGGCCCAGCGGUGCUGCCCCUCUGCCCACGAUGUGCCCAGGGGGCUCUUCUCCAAGCUCGACCUGAUCCAGGAAUUUAUUUUGGACAAAAUGGAGACUGUGAGAUUCAUCUCACUGCUCAGGGGACCCAGAGCGUGCUGGUCAGAGGACAACCCCAAAGACCAGGGCCUCAGAAGGUACCCCAGGCCCUUCAGGAAACAUUCGAAGAGUCAAGACUCAAUCCCCAGGAGCCCCUUUCCUGGCCCCCAGACUUCAGAGGGCUCCAGCCUGUUCUGACCCCGCCCGUGGCCACGCAGCCCUGCCAGCAUCACGACCAUCUUCUUACCCGCUUGGCCUCCAUUUUUCACCACCAGCCUCCGGAGUGGGUGGAAGCCAGCCUGGGGGCAGGGAGAGGGCGGGCAGGCUCCUGGGGUCAGCUGCGGUAGAGGGGGGCUGUUCCCCACCUUGGGGAUUGGCAGGGAUCACGGUGAACCUGCCUGGGACCAUGGGCAGGAGAGAGUUUCCUGAGUUGGAGCUGCUGUAAGGUGGGAAGUCUCAGCGUGGAAGGGGGUUGGGGGUUCGCUCUCACUGUCACGAGUGGGUCCAUCUGAGGCCAAGGUGCUUGGAUGGAUGCCUGCCUACUGGGAAUGCCCGAGUCACAGGAAAUUCUCACAAAGAGCCACCUGCAGCCAUAGGAGGCAGAGAGCCCGCCUCGCCCACAGCAGACUGUGGUUCUCAGUUUGUAGGGGGCAGCUCAUCACUGGCUCCCAGAAGCUGAAUUCCAGGUCGGUGCCUUCUGCACCCAAGGGUCCCAGAGCUGCCUGGAAUGAGUGUUCCACUCAGGGAGACGGCGGCAAGGCCAAGGCCCUCUGCAGGCUGGUUUCCCACCUGAGAAAUUGGGUGCCGGAAUGUGUAAGGGAGUUCCCACUCUGGCCCGCUGCUCUAGGUCAAGGUUGGAAAUACUUGGUCUGCCUGGGCAGCACUGGUUUGGUGUUAUUGCGCCCCUUGAGUAAAAAUCAUCCUAGCCACCUCCACAGCCCCGAAAAGAAUUCACUUCUGGAGUCUUCUGAUGUUAACUGAUUUAGGUAAAUGUUUAAGUUCAGAGCAACUGAUUUGCAGCCAACAGGGGCAAGUCAGCAAAUUCACUUUCAAAGGGGAGUUUCAGAACAGAUGCUGCUAUUCAGUCAAUGCCUGCUAAGGAUCUGCUGUGUUCCAGGGGCUGUUGGGAGAGGGGACAGGAAGCUCAGAGGGAGGGAGGGUUGGGGGCUGAGUAGGACAGGGCCACUGAAUCAAUUAGGGAAGCUAAAUCUAAUAAUGCAGGUUCUGUGGAGUCAGGUCUUCAGAGCAAUUUAAAUAAAACAGGGACUGGGGAG